CCCUGAACCACAGGGGGGAAAGGAGCAGAACAUGGGGCCACUGGAUGGCCCCAAACUGGCAGCUCCUCUGGCGCGGCUGUGCCGCCCCAGCCCUGUCCUCCAGCGGGGCUGCUGCUGUACAGACGGAGGAGAUCCUGCAUGGAAGGCCUGGGGCGAUAGAACCGCAUGGAGGAGCUGCGGGCAUGGGGCUCCCCAGUGGCCCCACUUCUGCUUCUUUCGCUGCUGCGGUUCUGAAGUCUUCAGCACAGCAGGAGGAGGACAGAGCCCCUGUCUCCAAGUCUCACAGCGCUUUGCCUAGGAGAUCGGUUUCGUCAACGGCCCUUUUGCAGAUGGGAAAACAGAGGCACAGAGAAGGAGAUGACUUGCCCAAGGUGUGGUACAAACAUUACCUCGUGAACCUCCCAACAUCUCUCUGAGGAUAAAUGGAUAAGUAUGAACUCCACUUCACAAAUGGGGAAACUGAGGCACGGAGCUGUGACAUGAUUUGCUGAAGGCCGCAGAGUCUCCAACACAACCAUCAUCUAAAACCCUGGCACUUGUGCGACCCAGUCCUGUGCUCAGGCUUCUAGCCUGUGACUGCAACUCAAAACAAGCUCUUCUAAAAGCGUGGGCUGUGAAGCCUGGCCUAGCAGAACCCAAAGGCGCUCUGAGCUCCUGCGCUGGGAGGGCUGGGCAGACAGCUUGCUCACGCCCUUUGAGAAGGCAGCAUGUCCUAUCCCUGAGCUGUUGCUGCCCAUCAGUGUAGGGAGUGGUGUUGAAGGGCUGCAGUUGAGGCCUGUGGCCAGCGAGAAAGAUGAACUAGCACUUAGGGCAGUGGACUGGGGUGUGGGUUUAAGUCCUGCCUCUGCCACAGCCUCCCUGUGUGACAUUGAGCAAGUCACCUAGGGCAAGAUGAUCAAAGGUAUUUAGGUGCAUCUAGGGUGACCGUAAGUCCCAUGUUAGUUAGGACAGUCCCUUUUUUAAGCCCUGUCCCGGCCGUCCUGACUUUUCUGGCAAAACUGGGCCUUUGUC